rnacentral:rRNA from 1 species
GACGAACGCUGGCGGCGCGCCAAAUACAUGCAAGUCGAGCGAGAACCAGGGCUUCGGCCCUGGGGACAGCGGCGAACGGGUGAGUGACACGUGGACAACCUGCCCUCGGCACCGGAAUAGCCCGGGGAAAGCCGGAUUAAUGCCGGUGGGCCCCACAUCCCUGCCGUGAACGUGGUACAAGGUAGCUUCGGCCUCUGGCCGAGGCUGGGUCCGCGGUGGAUUAGCUUGUUGGUGGGUUAAUGGCCCACCAGGGCGACGAUCCAUAGCUGUUCUGAGAGGACGAUCAGCCACACUGGGACUGAGACACGGCACAGACUCCUACGGGAGGCGGCAGUAGGGAAUCUUGCGCAAUGGGCGAAAGCCUGACGCAGCGACGCCGCGUGCGGGAAGAAGGCCUUCGGGUUGUAAACCGCUUUCAGGAGGGACGAAGCCACUCGGGUGAAUAGCCCAGAGGGUGACGGUACCUCCAGAAGAAGCCCCGGCUAACUACGUGCCAGCCGCCGCGGUAAUAC